rnacentral:rRNA from 1 species
CAGGCCUAACACAUGCAAGUCGAGCGGUAGCACAGAGAGCUUGCUCUCGGGUGACGAGCGGCGGACGGGUGAGUAAUGUCUGGGAAACUGCCUGAUGGAGGGGGAUAACUACUGGAAACGGUAGCUAAUACCGCAUAAUGUCGCAAGACCAAAGUGGGGGACCUUCGGGCCUCAUGCCAUCAGAUGUGCCCAGAUGGGAUUAGCUAGUAGGUGGGGUAACGGCUCACCUAGGCGACGAUCCCUAGCUGGUCUGAGAGGAUGACCAGCCACACUGGAACUGAGACACGGUCCAGACUCCUACGGGAGGCAGCAGUGGGGAAUAUUGCACAAUGGGCGCAAGCCUGAUGCAGCCAUGCCGCGUGUGUGAAGAAGGCCUUCGGGUUGUAAAGCACUUUCAGCGGGGAGGAAGGCGGUAAGGUUAAUAACCUCAUCGAUUGACGUUACCCGCAGAAGAAGCACCGGCUAACUCCGUGCCAGCAGCCGCGGUAAUACGGAGGGUGCAAGCGUUAAUCGGAAUUACUGGGCGUAAAGCGCACGCAGGCGGUCUGUCAAGUCGGAUGUGAAAUCCCCGGGCUCAACCUGGGAACUGCAUUCGAAACUGGCAGGCUAGAGUCUUGUAGAGGGGGGUAGAAUUCCAGGUGUAGCGGUGAAAUGCGUAGAGAUCUGGAGGAAUACCGGUGGCGAAGGCGGCCCCCUGGACAAAGACUGACGCUCAGGUGCGAAAGCGUGGGGAGCAAACAGGAUUAGAUACCCUGGUAGUCCACGCCGUAAACGAUGUCGAUUUGGAGGUUGUGCCCUUGAGGCGUGGCUUCCGGAGCUAACGCGUUAAAUCGACCGCCUGGGGAGUACGGCCGCAAGGUUAAAACUCAAAUGAAUUGACGGGGGCCCGCACAAGCGGUGGAGCAUGUGGUUUAAUUCGAUGCAACGCGAAGAACCUUACCUGGUCUUGACAUCCACAGAACUUUCCAGAGAUGGAUUGGUGCCUUCGGGAACUGUGAGACAGGUGCUGCAUGGCUGUCGUCAGCUCGUGUUGUGAAAUGUUGGGUUAAGUCCCGCAACGAGCGCAACCCUUAUCCUUUGUUGCCAGCGGUCCGGCCGGGAACUCAAAGGAGACUGCCAGUGAUAAACUGGAGGAAGGUGGGGAUGACGUCAAGUCAUCAUGGCCCUUACGACCAGGGCUACACACGUGCUACAAUGGCAUAUACAAAGAGAAGCGACCUCGCGAGAGCAAGCGGACCUCAUAAAGUAUGUCGUAGUCCGGAUUGGAGUCUGCAACUCGACUCCAUGAAGUCGGAAUCGCUAGUAAUCGUAGAUCAGAAUGCUACGGUGAAUACGUUCCCGGGCCUUGUACACACCGCCCGUCACACCAUGGGAGUGGGUUGCAAAAGAAGUAGGUAGCUUAACCUUCGGGAGGGCGCUUACCACUUUGUGAUUCAUGACUGGGGUGAAGUCGUAACAAGGUAACCGUAGGGGAACCUGCGGCUGGAUCACCUCCUU